rnacentral:rRNA from 1 species
UACGUAGGGGGCAAGCGUUGUCCGGAUUUAUUGGGCGUAAAGAGCGUGUAGGCGGCUUUACAGGUCCGUUGUGAAAACUCGAGGCUCAACCUCGAGACGCCGGUGGAAACCGUAAGGCUAGAGUCCGGAAGAGGAGAGUGGAAUUCCUGGUGUAGCGGUGAAAUGCACAGAUAUCAGGAAGAACACCCGUGGCGAAGGCGGCUCUCUGGGACGGUACUGACGCUGAGACGCGAAAGCGUGGGGAGCGAACAGG